GAACAAAUGAAACUCAAGACAGAUGAUCAAAAUGUGAAUGGUUCACUCCUUCUUUAAAAGGGGAACAAGAAUACCCUUGGCAGGGAAGGGAGAGGCAAAGAUUAAAACAGAGACUGAAGGAACACCCAUUCAGAGUCUGCCCCACAUGUGGCCCAUGCAUAUACAGCCAUCCAAUUAGACAAGAUGGAUGAAGCAAAGAAGUGCAGACCAACAGGAGCCGGAUGUAGAUCGCUCCUGAGAGACACAGCCAGAAUACAGCAAAAACAGACGCGAAUACCAGCAGCAAACCACUGAACUGAGAAUAGGACCCCCGUUGAAGGAAUCAGAGAAAGAACUGGAAGAGCUUGAAGGGGCUCGAGACCCCAUAUGUACAACAAUGCCAAGCAACCAGAGCUUCCAGGGACUAAGCCACUACCUAAAGACUAUACAUGGACUGACCCUGGACUCUGACCUCAUAGGUAGCAAUUAAUAUCCAAGUAAGAGCACCAGUGGAAGGGGAAGCCCUGGGUCCUGCUAAGACUGAACCCCCAGUGAACUAGACUGUUGGGGGGAGGGGGACAAUGGGGGGAGGGUGGGGAGGGGAACACCGAUAAGAAAGGGGAGGGGGGAGGGGGAUGUUGGCCCGGAAACUGGGAAAGGGAAUAACACUCGAAAUGUAUAUAAGAAAUACUCAAUUAAUUAAAAAAAAAAAAAGAAAGUGAGUUCAGAUGUCAAGCAUCAAUGUAAACUUGAAUGUGGUAGGCUGGGCAGGGGCUGACAGGUGGAUCACUGAAGCCCACUGACCAGCUAGACUAGCAACUCAUGAACUCCGGGUUGAGUGAGAGAUCCUGUCUCAAACAAUUUGGGGGAGACGAAAGAAGGCACAUGAUGCCAAUGUGUAUCCUUACACAUACAUUCACAAUUGAACACACACAUACAUGCACACACCUCACGCAACACAAAAAAGUGAAAACCUGCCCAACUCCCAGCAAGUUAAAAGUGAAUACAAUUUUUGACAAUCACAUAAUGAAAAAAUUCAGUAUUAAAAUGAUUUACAGAGUGUCUCCUAUAGAAAUGUGUGCGUUAAAUAGAUAAGAGAUGUGAGAAAAUGACAGCAUAUUUAAGGAGAAAUUUAAUAUGAAAUCCAAGAUAAAGGAGUUAAAUAAACAAAAGCAGAACAAUAGCAAGCAACAGAAAUUUACAGGAAAAACACAGCAAAAGCCACGAUCCUGUAGAGGAGAUGCUAACAUUCCAAGGUUGGACUGCACUGUUGUCCAGAAGGAAAGACACGGCAACAGGAUUUAAUGUAGUAUACAGCAGCUGGGAAACUCCAAAUGUCUGUUAAAAGAUUACAUUAUGACUACUUGAGCCAAUACAGGGCUUUAAGAGAAAUGUGUAAAAUUCUAUAAGAACAAAACAUCCUUGGAAAGAUUUUGGAAUUGUAAAAAUUCAGAUGGGCAUUGUUCUCCUGAGUUUGAAUCAUUGAUUGGAUCAGAUACAAAAGUAUUAACAAAGGAAAAUCUGGGGGUUUGAAACGACUCAGUUUUUAAGAGCACUGGCCGAUCAUCCAGAGAACCUGGAUUCAAUUCCCAUUACCAUAUGGAGGCCUUACCUGUCUGUAAGACCUCUUCCAGAGGAUCUGACGCCUCUGCUGUUUUCCUGCAGCAUUAUAAUCAUGUGUUUCACAGACAUGCAUGUAGGUAAACCAAUAGACACAUAAAAUACAUAAAUAAAAAAUUAAAGAAUAAAACACCUUUAUGAAGACCAAGAGAAAUAUUAUACAGAUAAAAUAAGAAAGGGGAUGUCCUAACUUGACAGAAAAAUAGUGGAAAAACAUAUCUGAAGAGCAAAACAAAAACCCCAAAAUAUAAGGUAUUAUAAGAUAUUGUUAAUGUAAUGGUAGAAUAGGGGAGAAGAGAGAAACUGUGGGAACGGUGCCAUACCUCCUCUCUGAGUGUGGAGUGCUACAAACCCUUGUUCACGGUAGUGUGAAUCCCACUGAUAUUAAGCAGCACAGGCACGAAGUGUCUUGGAAAGGCUGCCUCACAGGAGCCAUGACUAAAUAAGGGACAAGACAGAAGGA
rnacentral:lncRNA from 1 species